GAGGAGGCUAAGUUGGCUAGAGAGGGAGUUAAGGCCCCGAGCUAUGCUGUUCUUAGUAUCUGCAAGUCUCUCGUUGCUGGGGGUGUUGCCGGUGGAGUGUCACGUACAGCUGUUGCUCCAUUGGAAAGGUUGAAGAUAUUGCUACAGGUUCAAAAUCCCCGCAACAUAAAGUACAAUGGAACAAUUCAAGGGUUAAAAUACAUAUGGAGAACUGAGGGUUUUCGUGGAUUGUUUAAAGGCAACGGCACUAAUUGUGCACGAAUUGUCCCCAACUCAGCUGUGAAGUUCUUCAGCUAUGAAGAAGCUUCUAAGGGAAUAUUGUGGCUGUAUCAACAGAAAACUGGCAAUGAAGAUGCGCAGCUCACUCCUCUUCUACGCCUUGGAGCCGGAGCAUGUGCAGGAAUAAUUGCCAUGUCUGCAACUUAUCCCAUGGAUAUGGUGCGAGGCAGGCUAACUGUACAGACUGAUAAAUCACCUUAUCAAUAUAGAGGAAUGUUCCA
rnacentral:misc_RNA from 1 species